UUGGACAGGUGCUGCAUGGCUGUCGUCAGCUCGUGUCGUGAGAUGUUGGGUUAAGUCCCGCAACGAGCGCAACCCUCGUCCUUAGUUGCCAUCAUUAAGUUGGGCACUUUAAGGAAACUGCCGGUGAUAAGCCGGAGGAAGGUGGGGAUGACGUCAAGUCCUCAUGGCCCUUACAGGCUGGGCUACACACGUGCUACAAUGGCAUCUACAGUGGGCAGCUAUUCCGCAAGGAUGCGCUAAUCUCCAAAAGAUGUCUCAGUUCGGAUUGUCCUCUGCAACUCGAGGGCAUGAAGGCGGAAUCGCUAGUAAUCGCGGAUCAGCAUGCCGCGGUGAAUACGUUCCCAGGCCUU
rnacentral:rRNA from 1 species